AAUCGCUAGUAAUCGCAGAUCAGCAAAGCUGCGGUGAAUACGUUCCCGGGCCUUGUACACACCGCCCGUCACACCACGGGAGUCGGUCGCGCCUGAAGCCGGUGGCCUAUCAGUAAUGGGGGGAGCCGUCUAUGGCGAGAUUGGUAACUGGGGUGAAGUCGUAACAAGGUAUC
rnacentral:rRNA from 1 species